UCCUCGACUUAUGACCGGUUGGGUAGUCUUCGACUUAUGACCAGUUGGGUAGUCCUCGACUUACGACCGGUUGGGGUCGCGGCAUUAAAAAGGUUGAGAACCACUGGUGUAGAGGCUAGUACCAAACUUAACAUUUCUGUGUAAAUAGGAACUCUGUGUUACUAGGUUGCAAUUUCAACUUAUUUCAUGUUAUUUUUUUAUAUUUUUUAAUUAAAUUUAUAUAGCAGCCCAUCUCACAUACAUGACUCUGAGAGAUACCAGUAUACAAUGCAUAAAAUCAUGUAAAAUAAUACAAUUACAUAUUUGUUUACACUGCCUAGAAUUGUGUAAUUGUUGUAUUAUUUUUUUUAUAACUGUUUUAUUUGAUUUUAUAUUUCGUAUGUUGCCCAGAGUCAUUUAUGUGAGAUGGACAGGAGAAUGGAUCAGCAUCUUAGACACAAGUACCAGAUUUUGAGGGAUUUCCUGAAUGACAAUAAGGUCAGGGCCAAUCCACUUUACCUCAGGUGAUUCAUCCCAUCCUGCCCCUUAUUACCUCUACACCUCAGGUUAGAACACCAUCCACUGCAUCUCUUUCCAGUCGUGGAUAUAACUAGAUAUCAUCAGCACAUUAAUAAAUAUCUCACUAAUGAAACUUAACUCCAAAAUGAUUAAUGACUUCAUCCAGUUCAGUGGUACUCUUCAUCACUCCUCUUCCUUCAUCAUCUAAAACCAUUGGCUCAGUAGUAGUAGAACUAUUGCAAGAUAGAACUAUUGUGCUCAACCUUAAAGGUGGUUUAGCCUAUGGUAUCCAGCACAGCUAAGAGAACCAUUAAUUCAGAAGUGUUGCACUCUGCCAUCCAGGUCCUAGUGGACACACUUCACAAAAGUGACCAGUAUAUUUUCAAUCUCAUGCCUAAAUCUGGAUCCCAACAUAAAGGAACCUAAAUAAAUCAUUUCAUUCAUUUCAUUUCACACAGGAUUAUUUAUAGCCACUGCCCCACCACCCUUCCCCAAAGAGGAAGGUUAGAGAACAUCUACACUUCUUCAAAGAAGCAUACAUCACCUCUCAAAUUCACCCUACUUGCCUACCCAAAUGAGGCAGUCAGGUAUGAAUCCAAUCUAUAGCUCAGAGCUCAUGCUGUCAAGAACUUUGUCCAACUGUUCAGAAUCCAAAAAACAUCAAAAAGACAAAUUACCUAAAAAGACAUUGUCUCAGUUAUCACUGUUGUUUCUUUAACAGUGCUUUUGGACAAUAUUCUGUGAACAAAAUGAGAGUAGGGAAGUAAUAAUGCUUCACAACCUUCAUUGCCAUGAUGUAAGCCUGAAUAUGGGCUUGUAUUUAGUUUUGAUUAUUCCACAUCUUUUGUCACCAUUACUGAAAGCAUCACUUCAGCAAUUCCAGAGCUCCCAAAUAAACCACAAAGCCCCCUGUGGAGCAAUUGUGUUCACUACUCUCAUCAUUUCUACAUUCCAGAAAUGGACAAUGGCAUAUGGUAGAAUUGUCUAACAUAUUUUUGGCCAAAUCCCAAAGCAUGACCUGCUGAAAACUAAGCACAUCCAUUAGACUUCCAGGAGGGACCAUCUUAAUUGGUUCCCCCUGUCCCACACAUCUCUUGCUAUCAGCCCCACUAGAUAGAGCAAACCAGGAAAUCAAUUCCACCAUAAGCAAAAAGUACCUCUAUUGAGAUUGGCUACAAUAACAGAAUUUACAAGUUAGAAAUGUGUUGUACCUUUUCCUCCUCCAUAUAGUUCAGUGAAUUAGGGAGACUCUGAGCUACUUCUGAACAUUAUCUUCUUGUUCUGGACUUUAAAAAUGCUUCUUCCCCUUUUACCUAGGUAAGCAGUCUUGCAUAUUUACAUUAAGAUCAUCUUCAUUGUCCUCUACAUUUGCAGAGGUUAGUGAUACUGAUAAGCCAGAGACUGACCAGAAAAUGAUCUAUCCAUGAUAAAAUACCAAUAUCCUCCAUUGUUACAUUACAAGUCAUCUGUUCUGUGGUAAAAGAUAACAACUGGAGAGAAUCCAAUACUGUACCAGCUCCAGAAAUUCAGUAAGGGAUGCAAUCAAGCAGCAGGGUGGGUUGAAUAGCUCAACCUCAGUCUGCAUCCAAUCACCAGUGGAGCAAAACAUCUACUCACAGCUAAGGUCUCUUGAAUAUCAUUGUCACCCUCUCUGGCCUUGGAUCUAUGGCUCAUGAAUCAGCUGAAACCCAGAUGGGCAAAUUUCAAACAGUUAAAAAUGAUAGUAAGUGGUUUGUACCCUCAGACUUGCAAGAUUUUGUUCAUGUAGAUCGUUGCUUAGUAAAUUUAGCUCAUCUAGUUUCCUGUCUGGUUUACCUAAGACAAAACAUGAAUUCCUCUUUUAUGAUUCCCCUGGUCUUGGCCUGAAGAUAAAGCAGGACAAGUGAGAUGAAAACUGGUUAAAAGUCAGUUGAGAAAAUAAGGAGAUGGUCCUUUUACUGUUUAGUGUCAUUGUUUUCCUUGGCUCCUUCCCUUUUCCAACCUGCUUUAUUCUAGUAUGUUUGCUUUCCUUCAGGUGCAUCACCUCCUCUCUCUCCAUCUAUAAGCUCAUUUAAGUCCUAUUUUCCAUCAACCCAUGACUCAAUUAUCUUCAUGUGAAUUCUACCCUAAGCUUCAAAAUUAAACAAGGGCUGAACUCAGCUUAUCAGUCCAGUUUUUGAAAUAGAUAUGUCUUCUGUGUUCUAAUAUGUUUAUGAAGAGACAAAUAACAUGGCUGCAUCCCAGAGAAUGAAUUACAUUUGGCUCCAGAUAGAACAAGCAGGAUACUCUCGUUCAAGAAUGGUCAUAAACUGUGACAUCUCUCAUGAAAAAUGAAUUCUUAGAAUCCUCCCUAAGCCUGUAGGAUGAGCUCUGUCUUUUUUUAGCAGUGGCCUUCUGUGUGCUCAAACUCCUUUUGAAUGUACUGCUGAGUUUGUAUUAGGCGUCCAAGAAAAACUCCAAUAGUAGAAGCAUCCAUUUUAUGCAAGUCUUCAAACAUGAAGACAGGGCUUUGCAGGUCACUUUCAUUAGAGGAACUAGAAAAGGAAGACCUUCGUAGAGUGUACAGACUCAUCAAGCUGAAAAAGUAAGUUCAGGAUCUAAGUAUCUGCAGAGCCACCUUCUCCUGGAGAUGUAAAAGAGACAAUCCCUUCCAGAUCCCUAUUAUUUCAUCUGUGGAGGAUCUCUGGGUCAGUCCUUCUUUAUCAGUGCUCCCAUUCCCUGGAACAUCCUUCCUGCUGAUAUCAGAUGGACCCUAAUUCUGUUAGCUUUUUGCAACCUGGGUAUUUGAGCAGGCCUUUCAGGUCUGACAGAUUAUUCUUGUUUCUUCUGGAGGGGCGGUGGCUGUACAUAUAGGCUGUGAUUGCUCUCAACAUUGGAUGGGUUCCUCAGCGCUGUAAUAAUGUGAUGUUUUUAGUCUUACCACCUUUGUGAAGGGUGCUAAGCCAAUCAGUCCAAUAUGGUGUGGUUUCCUAAUAAAAUAAAUAUACUGUAAGUAAGUAAGUAAGUAAGUAAAUGUUUAGAGAGGCACGGUGGCUCAGUGGUUUAAUGGUGCUGGAGAAGAUCUGUAUUCCAGUAGCUUGAGUUCUAGCACCACAUGACAGAGCGAUCACUUGCAUAAGCUUCUGCCAACCUAGUAGUUUGAAAGCAUGUUGCAUGCAAGUAGAUAAAUAGGUACCACGUCAGUGGGAAAAAAUGGCACUUCAAGCAGAAGUACAAGCCCAACCAAUGCCAGACCUACCCGAAUGCAGUGACGAAAUGUCAGGUGAAAUUGGUGGUUGGAAAACCCCAGAUGAUACUGGAGAAAGCUAUCAAGUCUUAUGAGUGUGAAGCUAGUUUGCCCUCAUGGUGCACUCUGGAUAGUGUGCAGGUAUGAACUGAAUGAACUAGCAAUCAUUGGCAGCCAAGCUACUUUGUAUUAACACUGUAGUCUUCUGGCUAAGUAACAUUGCCAUAGGCUAAAUAAAUAAAUAGUAAAUGUAUGUAUGUAGGUCUAAAUUCAUAGGAGCUGUUUUUGGAAACCAAAGACAAUAUUUCAUCUUUUCCUCUAACAGGUUUUGCUAUUCAUUAAGAAGCAGAAAAUAAAGAAGAAAUUCAGUAAAAGCUGAAGUCCUAACUUGAAGGUUCCUGUCCUUAUUGGAUCCCCUUCUGAUGAGCUUUCACCUAUUGCUUCUUGUCCUGCCCUCAGGUGCUCUGGAGAAUAAACUGAACUCCUCUUCCCUGUGACAGACCUUCAAGUAUUGGAAGAUUGCUGUCAGCUCUCCCCUAAACCGUCUCUUCUUCAGGCUACACGUACCUGGUUCCCAUAACCAUCCAUGAUAAGAAUUAGCCUCCAGACCUCUUAUCAUCUUUGUUGCUGUUUUCUACUCUUAUGAAAAAUUGUCUACCACAAGAUCUCAAGAACCAGAUGGAAAGUAUACCAGUUUUCCUUUACUCUCUGUUCCUUCUGGUCUAUUUACUACCUUUCUGGGUAAAGUGCCUUUUCAGGCCCCAUUUUUACAUCUCAAAAUAUCUAACCUACAACAGAAAGACAUACCGUAAAUGCCGGCGUACAAGGCAACCCGGCGUAUAAGACGACCCCCGUCUUUAUAGCCGGGCCGCAUUCCUAGAACGUCGUCUUAUACGCUGGAAACUACCAGUAUUUCCAGCAUAUAAGACGACUCAGCGUAUAAGACGACCCCCGUCUUUGGCGCCGAUUUCAGCGCUCGCGGAUGUCGCCUUAUACACCGGCAUUUACGGUACACACCUUUCAUUUCUACGGCCAUUCCAAAAUUUCUGUAGUCUCCCUGCAAAAGACUUAUACAGAGUAUGUUUCAUCCAUUCUCUCCACUACCCCCACCACCCAAUGGCAGGGAUGGCUCAUUAUCAUUCCAUCAAUAUUACCUAUUAUUUCCACAUGGAAUACCACUUGCCAAUUGACUGCUACUUUUCUUUUCAUUGCCAUUUUUGAAUGACUGUGUGCUUUGUGGAACCUGUUUUUUAUUUUCAUGGCUAGUCCCGCAACACUGUUUAUGCUGUUAUUCCAUACCAGUCUGCUGUUUUGCUCUAUUCCUUAGUUCCCAAAUGGUCCUAAUUGAUGAAAAACCCAUCACAUCUUCAAAGACCAGUGUUACAAGAAGAUCUUUGAAAAGAAGUCUGAGAUGAAGGAGUCUGCAUUUCUUCUCUUGUUUUUCACCUCUGCUAUCCCCCUACCCCAUUACACAAAAGUGAUUCUGUUUUGGUCACAUUUUGGGAGGCAGUCUUGAUGGAAACUGACAGUAGGACAAAGACCAGUGUGUUGAAAUGGAGAUCCCUUCAUUUUAAACAUUCAGUGAUUCUAAAGAGCAAUCCACUGUAUCAUAUAAUAAACUAUAAUGUCUGUACAGA